GCCAGGGUGGUUUGAGCAUUAGACUAUUGCUCUGAAGACCAGGGUUCAAAUCCCUGCUCAGCCA